rnacentral:rRNA from 1 species
UACAGAGGUCUCAAGCGUUGUUCGGAUUCAUUGGGCGUAAAGGGUGCGUAGGCGGCGCGGUAAGUCGGGUGUGAAAUCUCGGGGCUUAACUCCGAAACUGCAUUCGAUACUGCCGUGCUUGAGGACUGGAGAGGAGAUUGGAAUUUACGGUGUAGCGGUGAAAUGCGUAGAUAUCGUAAGGAAGACCAGUGGCGAAGGCGGGUCUCUGGACAGUUCCUGACGCUGAGGCACGAAGGCCAGGGGAGCAAACGGG